CCCGGUCCCUGGGGCUUGGUGUGGGAUUGUUGACAAACCUGUGAUCGUUGGAACUCCAUUCAGGCCAUAAACAGGAGCCCAGCCUGGAGUUUGGACCCCUUAUUUGCUUAUUCUCCAUUAAGGAAUAAUGGAUGGAUCUCACAAUUGCUGUGAGAUGUUACUACCAUUGUAUAGACAAGGAAGUCAAGGCUGCCACCCUUGAAGUUACCCCAUUCAUCUGCACGGACAUCCAUGCCAAACCGAUCCGGCUUCACCAGUCCCAGCAGGUGCUGCCCGGUGAGGUACUCAGUAAUCAACACUGAAAAGAACUUAUUAGAGUCUGGCAGGAAGAACCAAGUCAAUUUCUCUAUCAUCUCCUGGAAUUUUGCUUUCUACAAGGGACCUCAUAAACAAACUCUAAAGUGGCAUUGUCCCUCUUCAGUCAACAUGAAAAAGAAAAGAACAAGCAACUGA
rnacentral:lncRNA from 1 species